GAAGAAGUCUAGAUGUCGAAGACGUUCUUGCCGGUGAACUUGACCUCGAUGGGGCUGACGUUCUUGCCGAUGCUGCGGAAGUUCUGGCCGACGCCCUGCCUGCCGGCGUUGACCUUCUCCGGGUAGACGCCGUCCUUGGGGUGGAGGUACUGCACCUCGCCAUUGGGGAAGACGCGGUAGAACUGGUAGUUGAUCUUGUACUUGGAGCGGAGCCUGGUGCCCAGGGCCAGGCACUGCUCCUUCCUGGCCAGCUUCAGCAGGUUGGGGCCCUCGCGCAUGAUGGCGGCGCCGCCCGUGGGCAUCUCGAACACCUGCUCCUUGGGCGACGUCCAUGUGAUGACGUAGAACUCCUCCACCUGCGCCUUCCGGAGGAGUCCCCCCGUGCUCCCGCCGAAGAUCGGGGACGGCGUGUUGGGGUCCAGCUGCGGCGGCACGAACCCCGCGGGGGCUGGCUUCUUCUCCUCCGUCGCCGCCGCGGCGGGCUGAUCCUCCGCCGCCGCUCUGAGGGAGGUGGGUGCCCUCGAGGUGGGCAUGGAGAGGGUGGAUGAGCGCGGCUUCGCCGGUGCCCAGGCGGCGAGGAGGUGGCACUUGGCGGCGGAGGCUUGCGUGGCCAUGGCCAUGGUGGUCGGAGGAGGAGAGAGGAGGGUACCGUGUGGUGGAUUCGAUUC
rnacentral:misc_RNA from 1 species